CUUGUUUACCCUCUGCAUUUACCAUUUCUGUUGAUGUUGAUGGAUCUGUAUGUAAAUAGAGUCUAUUACCUUUGAAUUUGUUGUAAUUUCUGUUGAUGUUGAUGGAUCUGUAUGUAAAUAGAGUCUAUUACCUUUGAAUUUGUUGUAGAGUUUUCUGGGGGCUUGUCUUGUUGCUCUCAAGGUUUGGCAGUCUCCCCCAUGACUAUUAUUGCAUUCUAUGGUCCCUGCUGUUGAUUCUCAGUCUUUCCUUUCUCUUGAUCUGUGUCUGGC
rnacentral:lncRNA from 1 species